CUGAAAAGAGAAAGCUCCAGGACAGGUUCAGGAAGCUGUGGCAAGGAGACCGCUCUGUGAGGGAAUACGAACGAAAAUUUUUUCGCGUCGUGAAUUGUGUCCCGGAUGUGGUACGGGAUGAUAAGGAUAGGGCCGAUUGGUUCCUGCGUGGACUUGGACCGGGGAUUUACAGGAAUUGUGUCCCGGAUGUGGUACGGGAUGAUAAGGAUAGGGCCGAUUGG
rnacentral:lncRNA from 1 species